rnacentral:rRNA from 1 species
UUCUUCCGGGAGGCAGCAGUGGGGAUUUUUGGACAAUGGGGGAAACCCUGAUCCAGCAAUACCGCGUGUGUGAAGAAGGCCUUCGGGUUGUAAAGCACUUUUAGCAGGAAAGAAAGGCUGUGCGCUAAUCCCGCAUUGCUUUGACGUUCCUUGCAGAAAAAGCCCCGGCUAACUCCGUGCCACCAGCCGCGGUAAUACGGAGGGUGCAAGCGUUAUUGGGAAUUACUGGGCGUAAAGCGCGCGUAGGCGGCUUUUUAAGUCGGAUGUGAAAUCCCCGGGUUCACCCUGGGAACUCCAUUCGAUACGGGCUGGCUAGAGUGUGGUGGAGGGAAGUGGAAUUCCAGGUGUAGCGGGGAAAUGCGUAGAUUUUUCCCCGGGGGCACAGGCGAAAAAAAAGGGGGCAAGGGGGGGGGGGGGAGAAGAGGGGGAGGGGGAGGGGCGGGGGGGGGGGGGGAGGAAGAAAGGCCAGGGCGGGGGCCCCCCCGGGGGGGCCCCGGGGAAAUUUUCCCCUCGGGGGGCCCCUGGGAGACACCGAAAGAAAUCUCCUCGUAAGGAU